GAAGGAGCGAAGAUGGCGGAGUGAGGCGUGCCCCGGGCAGCUGGCCUACGGGCCCGGGGCAGGCCUCCCGCGGGGAGCGGAAUACUUGUCCUGGACUGUGUGAGGAACCUGUCACACAAGGUGGAUAUCUUCCUGACCUUAGGUGCUUUUAUAUUCAGCUCAACAUUCUGAACUCAGGACUUGGCAAGAAUUUCUACGUGGACUGCUCAGUGAGGCAUCCUGAUUCUUCAUCCAGUUCCUUCCCCCAGUGAGAUGCGGAUGUCUUUUGACAGAUUACCUCCAUGGUGUAGGAUGCUUUUCUUUUACUUCUUGUCAGACUCAACACAGAAAAGCCCUGAGGAUGCAGCUGUCCUGUUGACUUCAGGAAGAAAAGAAACAACUGACUUGGGUCUUCUGUAGUUUUUUAAUUAGAAAGACACUGUUUGCAAGUAGAAGGAAGAUGUUGAAUUUGAAACAAGUGCUUAGGUUGUGUGGUGUGAAUUGUUUUCUUUUUAAAAGAUCCAAACAAGAAGACUGAACAAAUACCAAUGAGGGUGACUUCAGGGUUUUUUUUUUUUUUUUUAAGUCUUCCAUUUUUAACACUAUUAUAAGCACAGUUGACACUGCAGUAGUAAAUUCCAAAUUUUAAUAUAAUUUGAGGUGAAAGAAAUGUUAUCUAAAUUCUGGCUCGCUCUUUGACAGACUUCCUGGACAAAAUCAAGAAACGAUAAAAGCAGAAAGGCAUGACACCAGGUUUGGUUUCGUGUGGGAGUGAAACUGUUAGAGUUUUAUGUGUAUAAAUCCACAUUUUUAAACAAGCUUUUUCUCUUGAAGAAGAAACCUGUUGUUUAUUAGAAGGCUUUGAUAAUCUUACGUGUUUGGGUUUUGUCUGUUUUCCUUUGCUUUUUCAAUCCUUCUCAGGAAGAACCAGCCGGGCCUGUGGCUAGUUCAGAGUGGGAAGAAAACGUAGGAUGGGGUGAUGCUCACCUUGUUCUGCCAGGGCUUGGGAGGCCAAGACAGGAAGAUCAGAUGUUCAGGACCAGCCUGGACAUCAUGAGACUCAAAACCAGCAAGAAAACAGCAGAGCCCAGUAACACCCUCUUUUAUAUUCCUUUUGUGGAAUCCCAUGUAGCAUGUGAGACUUUGGUUUUCCAUGUGGCUAUGACAGGAAGGGAAGUGGCAUAUGUGGUCUUUCGGUUAAGGUGAUAUUGCGGGCCCUGUUAUGUAACUUGCCUUCACCUUUGGACUUACAGGAAUGAAGGAAAAACUAAGGCUUGGCAUAUAAAUCCUUUUCUCUAAGAAAAGCAAAGUUGUCUAAUGUAGCAUCGUCAGACUUUUCAACAUUUUUACAUUAUAUAGUUGCAUUUUUUAUAAAAGUAUGAAUAAUUUUCUUCAACCCAAGAUGGGUACUUGGACAGAUUUUUUUUUUUUUUUAGGUGAUAAUGUAAUGUUAUAUUGAAAUUCUGGGACUCAGGUAACUUUUCCCAGUUUGAAUUGAGCUAUCUUACCAGAGAAUGGACCUCAGAAGCAAUGGUCCCAGUCCUGAGGUUGGUUCGCUAUCAUCUCAGAAGAGAUUUGGGAUCUGAACAAAACUUCAAGUAAGAGAAGCAGAUCCAAUAAGUGUGGAUAUAGUUGCUAGUCACUGUAGAUGUAAAGGAGAUUGUGGGGUGGGGGUGGGGAUAACUGGAGAAAACUAGUUCCAAUAAGAUAUAAAACAUUCUUUUCUUCCUUAAUAGUUACGUUAUAAGGAACUAUUGUGGAAACAUCUCCUUGCUUCCCAGUUAAUGGAAGUCCAUUAUAUGGGAUGCCAGGCGUUUACAUGAGAGGGUCCCAGUGUUUGCAACGGCUGCCAGCACAGAAGGAGCUUUAGCUUGGUAGAUGAGUUAGGAACAGAUGCUGUGGGAGCUGAUUCUGGAACAGUUUCUAGGUGCUUCAGUGCUGUGAAUUUGAGUCAUAGAAACAAUCAAAGUUAGGAAAUGUUGAACAUUCUUGGUUAGUCAGAUUGGACAACAUAUUUGAAUUUAUACUAAAAGCUUUUUCAUAAAUAUUUAUUAUAAAUAACCUAUUAAUGAGAGCAAAUAACGAUAAAACACUAGAGAAAUAACAAGUUAAAGGUAACCUAAAUUGCUGGGCUUGAUCGCCCACACUUGUAACCACAGUGUUGUGGAGAUUGAGGCAGGAGGACUGGCCACAAAGAUCAAGGCCAGCCUCAAAAUGAAACAAGAAUAUAACCCCCAUUUUUCAAGUGCCCCAACCACUUACAUUUUUAUUUAGAAGACAAAGCCAGCUGGUGAUUGAGAGCCACUCUUAGAUGCCCGCCCCAGCUGUCUGUCCUUCACCUUGCCCUCGGGCAGGCACUGCCUAACCAGGGAAGUGUCACCCAUUUGCUCCACACCUUGAAGUGAGUGUACUUUGUCAAAGAUGCUCCUGCAUCCUGCAUUGUCAACACCAAAUGGUGUUCACAGCACGAGUGGAUUCCAGCCCUAGUUGCCUGGUAUGUGGCACAUUUCCAUUUAUAGUUUUACAUGGGUUUUCUUAAAAGCAGCAAAAUUACCAUGUUAGAACUGUGCCUCCAUCUAUAGCCGUGCCUCCUUCCUUCUCCAUGUAAACUGGCAGUUUUUCUUUUGAAGUUACUAAACAAAAACGGGAUAUGUGCAAUAUAAAUAUAUAUAUAUAUAUAAUGUAUAUUUUAAUACUUGUGGACAAGUGUUACAAGUUGUUUAAGAACAACAAAAUCACCAAUGUCUUCCAUUUUGAGAUGUGUAUAGUUUUGUAAUCAGUAGUGCUUGGUAGCAUAUUGUAGUGUCAUGUUAGGGGUUAGUGCAUGAAUUUAGUAUAAUUUUAAACUACGAGAUGAAAUAUUGAUAAUAACCAGUAGUGUAAAAAGUGUGGAAAAUCCUAGACCUUUUUGUGUAUGAAUCUAUGGUAGCCUCCCUGGGGAUAGGAGAUAAAGACCAAAACAACUAAUGUCUGAACAGAAAUGUGGGUUCACACUGAGAAACAUUGUGCUUGGGGGAAUGUUAAGCCUCUAACAGGUCGCUAGAAAUAGUUGCCUUUGUAGCUCUUCAGUCCUCAGAGCAAGGCCAUGGUUCAUGGUUGUCUUGCUGUCUCAGUUUGAAGCUAGCUUGUUCUUGUAUUGACUUUGCAUUGUAUGUCUUGGGUUUAUUUUUCCUAUUUUGUGUCUAGAAAAUUUCUGUUUGCAUGUCUGAGAUGCUAUGCCGAUUGCUUUGGAAUGUUUACUCUGUGGCCAUUUCCUUUCCUGAUUGCAGCAUGUGUGCUGAUUGCAGAACCUUGUCAGCAAUUUGGAGUAUUCUGUGCUUUGACCAGUUCCACAUCUGACUUGGGUGUUGAGUCCAGUCUUUCUCAUAACUGAUAGCUCAGUGGGGCCCAUGUAGGUUGACAAGAAGUAUGUUGGCCUCUCCUUUUGCUUUGUUCUGAAAAAUAAAGUUUUCUGUAAAAUGGAAUUUCUACCUCUAAAAGCUGCCUAGGAAAUGUGGGAGUAACCAUUCUCUGGAGAGUUGUGGGUUGAUUGGUUUGGGUUUUUUGUUUGUUUGUUUGUUUGUUUUUUAAUUUGUUUGUUCCUGAGUUGUGGGUUGAUUGGUUUGGGUUUUUUGUUUGUUUGUUUAUUUUUUAAUUUGUUCCUUUUUAUAAUUUUUAGAAAUAGAAGUCCUGCUGGGUAUGGUGGUGGAUGCCAGUAAACUCCCAGCAUUUGGGAAGUGGAGGCAGGAAGAUCCAGAGUUCAAGGCCAUCCUCUGCUCCACAGUGAGUUGGAGGUCAGCCUGGGAUACAUGAGGAAAAGAGAAAGAGAAGCAUGUGCAGGGUUUAUUAGCGUGUAUUACAUUAGUAUGAUAGUAUUGGAUAUCCAGGGAGGUUUAUUAGCGUGUAUUACAUUAGUAUGAUAGUAUUGGAUAUCCAGGGACCCAGGAAUAGACCCUCAUAGGAUAGUAAUCACUCUUCACUCAAGUAGGUGUUAGUGCCUAGGAGAAUCUGCUUCUAAGAAGAUUUAAGAAACAAAGAGGAAAACUUGAAAAUGUAAUGCAUAUAAAGUAGCACAGUGUACAGGAAAGGACAUUCCUGCUGCAGAAAACAAAAGCCAUAAUGAACUAAUAAUAUGGUUAAGAGGUGGAAUUUUGUAGCAAUAAUAGUUCCGUAUAUAUGGUGAAUUGUGCUCACAAAGCUGUGUGGUUGAGUGGUUGGUUACUGGUUGGGUUUGUGGGGCCCUACAGUUCUAUAGAGCUUUGCAAAAGGAAAAACACAUCCUAAUUAAAAGGCAUUUAAACUAUGAAUGUAUGUGAAUAUAUCUGUGAAAAAAGUAUCAACUUUCAUAUAUGUGUUAAAGAUCCUAUUUUGUUUCUCCAGAGUUUACAGCUGUUGAAAUCUUUCUAGUGCUUAAUCUGGAAUCCCAGUGAAGCCAACCUGUAGGGGUCUUGCUUAAAUUGUUUGUAUUGAUAGUCAUUUACUAUAUAGAAUGUUCUAUGCUUUAUUCAAAUAAUAUAACCUUUAUUCAUUGGGUUUCUGGCUACUGUUUCAAAAGGAAAAGUUUGUUUUAUAUGUGAUUGGUGUGCCUCAGGGGCAGGGAGCCACAAGAACUUACUGUUUUUUCCUUGUACUUAAGCUCAAGGAUUAAAGGUGAACAAAAUGACUGGCAGUGCCCAGGCAGGGGGUUUCUGAGCAUCUGGUAAAUGUGUGUGAUAAGCUCAUGGCCAGUGUGCAUAUUCUUUCAACAAGAAUCCAGCAGACUCCUUCCUUCCUUAUCUGAGAUGUAAAAUGGAACUAGGACCACUUCUCUCUUCCUCCUUUACCUCAUGUCCAUUGUGGCCACUUAGCCCCUUCAACAUCCCUGGAAAGAUCUGGGUCUGUGUCCCUUUGUUUUCCCAGGGGAAGAAAAGUGAAAGAGUAGUUUUAUAGAUCUAAGACUCUUAUUUUAUUAUAAGCCUAAGGAUAGGGAAAAGGCUGAUUGAAGUGUAGUUUCUCUCUAGAUGAACUGUGCUGUCCAUGUUAGCUUUUGGGACAACCAAGCAAUAUUCAGAACACCUGCAUGAUCAUGGAGAUGUGACUAAUCCAUCAGAGAUUCCUUUAACAGCCAUUUUAUGGUUCUAAAUGCAAAAAUAUGCUACAAGAUUUUGUGGUCUCAAAAUAUGUGGUUAAUUAGUAUUCAGUCUUACUGUAGUCUCUUGUUUACUCUUUAUGUACCUGUGAUAUGCAAAAUAUGAAAAGACGCCCUAGCCUUCAGGAGUUUACAUUCUCAUGGUGCUGUAGGUGCAAGCAUACCGUCUCUAGUUUAUUCAGAACAUUGCUUGGCUAUGAAUUAUACCAUUUUGGAAGAACCCCUUGGCCAAGAGUUUUAAAAUGCAGAGGGCUGUGUUGAAUUUCAGGGCAUUACUGCUUGUGUUUACACUGUUUUAGCUCUGCUCCUCAACCCUCCAGAGAGCUGUUCAUUAAUACAAAUCAGAAAAGAAACCAUUCUGCCCAAGUACCCUCACCACCCUCCAGCUCUCAGUAAGUGGCCAAGAAAACUUAUUCCAUAAAGACUAUCACCUCAGUUCCUUUUUCCCAGGGCUUUACACUUAUUUACCUUCCAAGGGCCAGGAUUUCUAGCUAAGCCUUUUAGAACCAAACAGAAGUCUUAAGUUUAGCUUUUUCAUGUAUGACUUGUUUUGAAGCAGCAUCAUAGUAGAUAACAGCGUAUCUGAUUGCAUCUCUGAGGAAUUUGACUGACAUAUUUAGUUGAAGCUUUGCAUGUAUCAUUGCUUUAUCCCAAGAUUCUGAAUCAAAGGGUUUGCAUGUUUAUUAAAACCAGGCCUGAUUGAAAGUGUAAGCAAUAGUGGCAGGCCCAUAACUGAUUCUAGAAUGCUAACAUUCUAAUGCAUGGUUGAAAUUUUUCAUUGUUAGGUAGUUACUAGUAAUUUUAUAUAUGCAUUUAUCAAUAAUGAAGCAAUAGAUACUUAAACCAAUAGCUUGGUUUUAUUGUUUGAAUUAUUUUUAUUUUUUAAUUAAAGAUUAUCUUGCUUCCAUUGAAAAUUGGAAGUACAAGAUAAACAAGGGGCAACCACAAGACAUUCAAACUGUAAGGAAUACAACAAGCAGUGCUCACUCUGUUUCCUAGCUCUAUUUAUUCCCAAGCAUGUUUGCAAAUAAAAGAUAGACUAAGCAUGUUGAACAAACAGUUGUAAUCAGGAUGGUGCAGGGUUUCAGAAGAGUGGGAAAACAGGCUAAGUGGAGUCAUCAUCCUUCAGAAAUAACAGUGUUCUGUGCAAAGUAACUAGCUGAGGGACUUGUCUGAUUAGGUUUAUAUAGACUAAGUUUAGGGUUUCUUAAAUCUAUAGAUUGAGCCAGAUUCAUGGUCUGCAGUCCCUGAGCAGGCAGGAACUGGCCUGAGCGCCAUAGGCAGACUCCAGCAUCAGUGUGUACAUACUGCCAUUCAGUAAUGAGGCAUCUGUUCUGGAAGGUGCUGGCUGACCAUCUACAAAAUCCCCACACAAGGUUUUGUAGAGCUGCAGUUUGGCUUCUCAGAUAGUGCCUGUGGCUGGAUCUGCAACUGUAGAACUGGAGUUUUCUUUACAUGAGUUGAUCAAAAUGUGUAACUUGCCUGAAACUUGAUUCCUGAUGAAUAGGAAUUUUCUUCUUCCGAAAAAGACAUUUAUUUGGGUGAAUGAACAUUGGUUUGUUACAGUAGUGAAAGAACAGAAGUGUACCUACUGGCAGAACAUUUACCUGAAAAAUGGGUUCAGUUGCCAGCACUACAAAAAAAACUAAUGCUGGUAGUGUAAGAAUUUCUUGACUUUGAAAUGCAAGUUACAAAUGGUUUUGACAAAUGAUGAGAAGUAUUUAUAAUUUCUGAAAGACCUAAAUAGAUUUCAAGUAGAACUGAUUCACUGGGUUCAGUCCAAUUUACAUGUUAUAUGACAGAAAAAUAGUUUCAAAUUUAACUUUAGCUGUGGUACUUUGCUAUGGAUGUUGACUAGAAUGGAAACUCUCAACCUUCAGAACUGAAUUUCUGAGUUGUCAGUGUGAUGUUUGCUUUCCACUGAAACACAGGAAUUGAGGUGUAUGACGUAUCCCAAAUAGAAGAGUUCUUUGCCACUUACUGAUCCCUCUGCCGGCCAAUAAAGAUGGAAGGCCAGAGUUCUUCCUUCUACUGCCCUCUUCCUAAUAGUCACUGAAGUCAAGAUAUCAUUCAGCAAUAUGAUUACUGCUGAUUUUCCAAACAUUUUGACAUCUUUGGGAAUGGUGUGCUGUAUCCUUAAUUUAAAUGUUCUUUUGUGCUUAGGACAUAGCUCUUGAAGAACACUUGGACUCUGGGGCCAGUCCUCAUCACUGACACCCUAUCUCAAGGAUCAGACAAGUAUUCUGUUAGGGUGUUAUCAGUUCGUAAACAACAUUACUAGUCCGGGCAUUAACCUUACUUAAACUUAAGCAUCCUUUUAAUGAGAAAGAUUAAGAACAGUAAUCUACUUGAGAGUGCUGCGUUUUCUGCCCUUCAAGCAUAGGUGUCACUGUUCACUUGCCCUUGUAUUCUAUUGGGCCACCAGUGUAUGAGGUGAUGUUGAAGAGCUUCACUGAAUGUUUGAAGCACUACAAACGGCAGCUUCUUAAUCUAUGCAUCUUUGGGAGUUGUGAAGAAAUUUGUGUUCUUGGAAAAGGAACUGUUUUGAGAGUCUGAAACUGCACCUGUAUGUAUAUAUUGUUAGCAAUAAAGCAUGAGCAGAGAAUGCACUGAAAUUUCA